AUUGAACGCUGGCGGCAUGCCUUACACAUGCAAGUCGAACGGCAGCACGGGAGCAAUCCUGGUGGCGAGUGGCGAACGGGUGAGUAAUAUAUCGGAACGUGCCCAGUCGUGGGGGAUAACGCAGCGAAAGCUGUGCUAAUACCGCAUACGAUCUACGGAUGAAAGCGGGGGAUCGCAAGACCUCGCGCGAUUGGAGCGGCCGAUAUCAGAUUAGCUAGUUGGUGGGGUAAAGGCCCACCAAGGCGACGAUCUGUAGCUGGUCUGAGAGGACGACCAGCCACACUGGAACUGAGACACGGUCCAGACUCCUACGGGAGGCAGCAGUGGGGAAUUUUUGGGACAAUGGGCGCAAGCCUGAUCCAGCAAUGCCGCGUGCAGGAUGAAGGCCUUCGGUGUAACU
rnacentral:rRNA from 1 species